AAUGAAUCAGCAUUUGUCAUGAUUUUCAUUUUUCUUUUUUUAUUUCUUAAUUCUUCGAGUGUUUGUUUUUAAUCUAAUGUAGAUCACAAGUUAAUAACUUAUAUUCCCAUAGAAGAGCAUCUUAUUAAUUCGGUAAAUUAAAUGACUGAAAAUGAUGUGUUUGUUUUACGGAAGGUGUUGCAUAAACGUUCAUUAACAUAGAACUUCGCCCAAAUUUUAAGUGCUAAUGAAAUAUGUUCCGUUUGUAAAUUAAAUAAGACUUUAAAUUCAUUUGAGAAUAUCCGAUGAAAAGUUAUGGUAACCCAACCUGGUUUUUUCUCGGCUAAAUUAUAAAAUAGCAAAAUUUCAUGUUGAUUCCUUCAGAAAAUGCACUUUUUCAGAGUUAACUCCCCUUACAAUUUAAAAACAUUAAAAAUCCAUGAAAAAUAAUCUACUCUUAUAAAAAUAUCAAUAUUUAUAAGUUAAAAUCUUAUAAAUUGGUUCUUUUAAAUGAAAAGUCAAAUUAGUUAUAUGCAUUCAACAUCAAAUUUGGCUAAUUUGUUAUUUUCAAUCCAAAAUGGCGAAAGACUCGCAAUACCCCCUUAAACAUAAAACAUGCAAACGAGACAAAUCGAAUGAAAUCAUAAAAUACAACCUCGUUAUAUUUUAAAUUUAUUCGUUUCCACUUCAAACGCGAUAGUAUCAUUAUUUGAAAUGAUAUUGGAUGCGAUAAUCAAAGUCAAAUGUCGUCAAAUUGUUUUAAUAUUACGAUUACAUUAAAUAAAUCGAGUUCUAUAUUAAAACCCGUUAUGUCUACAAAGUCCUUUUUAUUUAUCUGCUUGGUGGGAAUAUUGGUUCUUCUCAAAUAUCAAAUAUCAAUUAUUCAUAAUUUCAUCAUUCAAAACGAAAUGAAAUUAAAUAAUUUGCAUAGUGCUCUUUGUCCCUUUUUGUAGUGACGAAUGAGCUGAUUUUUUUGACAUUUGAUGAAUAUUAGCUAAAGAAAACAGUCAUUGUUCAAAGAAUUUUUUUUACAUGAAAAUUGUGCAAUUGUACAAUUGAAAUAUCUGGGAAAUAUUACAAGUAUUGCGUCACAUAAAUCUUCAUUUACUUCCCAAACCAAAGUGUCAUAAUGUAAUUAAAUGUGCAUGUGAAUGGACGUUUUAAAUAACCCACGACAUCUCGUCAAUUCAUAACGGUUUUAUCUGCUAUCAUGUUGUGCAUUAUCAGUUUAAAGAUAUAAAAUUAAAAAGAGAAAAAUGCUCCAAGUUUUUAGCAGGCGUUCUGACAAACUAACACAGUUUUAAAAGGGCAAAUGAGACCCCACAAAAAUACCUUAGGGAUCGGGAAUGGUACGCAGAUCCUCCACACGUUGCAACCUUCAUUUUGGUCAUGUUAAGUACAAUUAAUGUGAUGAAGUAUCGUUCUGUUUUGGAGGAAAUGUGGACGAUUUUAUAGUUGAAUUGACAAUUGAAACAUAUCAGUGGUCAUCUUGGACACAGACAUUUCAUAAUGGUCAUCAAGAUCGUGGUGGCGCUGGUAAAUCUUUCGAAUAUGUGACUUCAAUUUUUAAAAAGUUUUAUUUUAGUCAGCGUCUGGAAAAAAAAAUAUAGGGCUGGAAAGUCAAUUUUCAUCAUGUGCCAUUUUUAUUUUAUACAUGAACCUUUUCUGUGUGAAAUCUUUAAUCAUCUUAAUUGAAUAGCUAAAGUCUGUGAUGUAAAUAUUAUAAUUUGGAACCAGAAUCAUUACAAUAUUAC
rnacentral:lncRNA from 1 species